AUUACUAUUACACUUGCACUUACACUUACACUUACACUACACUGUAAAUGAAAUAAAAAAACACUAAAACAGAUCAAGAAAUCCAUGCACACUGUGGAUUAAACAGUGUUUUUCAUUGAUAAUUUUAUUGAUCUCCCAGGAUAUUUGGUUUGUGUGUGCAGUUGAGUUCUUGGCAACGUGGCUUGUUCGUUAUCAUAAUUUUUUUUUUUCAUUUUUGUGUUUUUGUCUCAAAAUAGGGCGAUGGCCAGACACCAACAUACAAUUUUCCUUCUCAUGUCGAUCUUCCCUUUCCACCAACUAUCAUCAAACCCAUCGCCAGCCCUUGUUAUGCAUCACCAAACACAUCGCCUCUCCGUGUUAGAAAAAGGGUGGGGAUUUUUCCUUCGAGGAUCGGUUGUCAUCAAAGGAAGAAAGGAGCUAAAGGACAAAACAGCCAUGAGCAGUAGAUGAAAGCUACUUUUCAACUCGAAAGCCUUGGGGAAAUAUCUUGCAUUCUUGAUGAAAUAAUGGGAUGGGGCAAUAUUCUUAAAGCAUCGAAGAAUUGGCUGGAGAGAAAUAUCCAAGUCAUUGUUGUUACUGAUGGUGAGUGUAUCUUAGGGCUCGGGGAUCUUGGUUGCCAGGAAUGGGGAUCCCAAUAGGAAAACUCUCUCUAUAGACAACAUUAGGAGGAUUACGUCCCUUUGCAUUAAGUGCUUGCCUGUAGCAAUUGAUUUUGGCACAAACAAUGAGAAGUUGUUGAAUGAGGAGUUCUACAUUAGGCUUGGACAAAAGAGGGUAACUUUAUAGGUAGAGUAAUUUUACUUUAUUCCAUUUCCAAUCGACUGAUAUUUCUUCUUUUCUUUUCUAGAUUUUAAAUCAUUCUACAUCUCGAGAUUUUUGUUUUGUUAUUUGUUGUGGUUUAAGAAUAUGCAGAGCUUCUAGAUGAGUUUAGGACUGCAGUUAAAAAGAACUAUGGGGAAAAGUUCCGUAUACAGGUGCAAAAGCAAAGCUGACAUGUUGAUCUUCCUAGGUGGUCUCUUUUUUUGGACAAGAGAGGUAGAUCACCUUCUCCUUGUGGUUCCGAGAAGAUAUGAAAAUGACUUGGUUAAUGGACUUCGAAUAUUUUAUGCAUCUGAACAACAUAUCCGGCUUUAUUCUUGAAACGGAUCCUUGUUUUUCUACCAUAUGUACCUCUGCCCAAUGUUAUGUAAAACUUUGGUUGCCACAGCAUUUUUAAGUUGUAAAACAAGCGCAUUGGUUACAUUGAUGAAGGGUCAAAUUUAACUAA